rnacentral:rRNA from 1 species
GUAUUUUGACCGUGCAAAGGUAGCGCAAUCACUUGUCUUUUAAAUGAAGACCUGUAUGAAUGGUGGAACGAGGGCUUAACUGUCUCCCCCUUCUAGUCAAUGAAAUUGAUCUACCCGUGCAGAAGCGGAUAUAACAAUACAAGACGAGAAGACCCUUUGGAGCUUAAGAUAAAAAACCAACUAUGUCAAAAGUCCUAAAAAAGACUAAACCAAAUAGUACUGGUCCUAAUCUUCGGUUGGGGCGACCACGGGAGAAAACAAAGCUCCCAUGCGGAUUGGGGUAAAUCCCUAAAACUGAGAGAGACAUCUCUAAGGCGCAGAAUAUCUGACCAUAAAGAUCCGGCUACAUGCCGACCAACGGACCAAGUUACCCUAGGGAUAACAGCGCAAUCCCCUUCCAGAGUCCAUAUCGACAAGGGGGUUUACGACCUCGAUGUUGGAUCAGGACAUCCU